rnacentral:rRNA from 1 species
UUGUUUGUUUUUAUGAGCGUUCGGUGGAUGCCUUGGCAUCAGGGGCCGAUGAAGGACGUGGUGGCCUGCGAUAAGCCUCGGGGAGCCGGCUGACGGGCUGUGAUCCGAGGGUGUCCGAAUGGGGGGACCCGGCACGAGUCAUGUCGUGUCACCCGUACCUGAAUUCAUAGGGUGCGGGGGGUGACGCGGGAAGUGAAACAUCUCAGUACCCGCAGGAGAAGAUAUUCCGUUAGUAGUGGCGAGCGAACGCGGAUGAUGGUUAAACCACGGUCGUGUGAUACCCGGCAGGGGUUGCGGUCGUGGGGUUGUGGGGUGUUCUUCUGCCAUCUGCCGGUGGUGGGCGCGGUGACAAACCUGGCUGGUAGCCGAACCCUCUGGGAAGGGGGGCCGUAGAGGGUGAGAGCCCCGUAGGCUAAACUGGCCGGGCCGUGCGGGCACGACCCCGAGUAGCACGGGGCCCGUGGAAUCCUGUUGAAUCUGCCAAGACCACUUGGCUGCCUGAAUACUUCCUGAUGACCGAUAGCGGAUCAGUACCGUGAGGGAAUGGUGAAAAGUACCCCGGGAGGGGAGUGAAACAGUACCUGAAACCGGGCGCUUACAAGCCGUCAGAGCCUUGAGGGGUGAUGGCGUGCCUUUUGAAGAAUGAGCCUGCGAGUCAGUGCCGUGUCGCGAGGUUAACCUGGUAGGGGGAGCCGUAGCGAAAGCGAGUCCGAAAGGGCGCCUAUGAGUGGCACGGUCUGGACCCGAAGCGGGGUGAUCUACCCAUGGCCAGGUUGAAGCACGUGUAAGAGCGUGUGGAGGACCGAACCCACUUCAGUUGAAAAUGGAGGGAUGAGCUGUGGGUAGGGGUGAAAGGCCAAUCAAACUCCGUGAUAGCUGGUUCUCCCCGAAAUGCAUUUAGGUGCAGCGUCCCGUGCUGCCCGGCGGAGGUAGAGCUACUGGGUGGCUGAUGGGCCCCACAGGGUUACUGACGUCAGCCAAACUCCGAAUGCCGUCGGGUGCAGCGGGGCAGUGAGACCGCGGGGGAUAAGCUCCGUGGUCGAGAGGGAAACAGCCCAGAUCGCCGGCUAAGGCCCCUAAGCGUGUGCUAAGUGGGAAAGGAUGUGCGGUCGCGCAGACAACCAGGAGGUUGGCUUAGAAGCAGCCACCCUUGAAAGAGUGCGUAAUAGCUCACUGGUCAAGUGAUCGUGCGCCGACAAUGUAGCGGGGCUCAAGCACACCGCCGAAGCCGCGGGCCUGCCACGUGUUCCUUCCGGGGGGCUUGACCCCCCUUGGCAGGGGUGGCAGGUGGUAGGGGAGCGUCCCGCACCGGCAGAAGCCUCGGGGUGACCCAGGGGUGGACGGUGCGGGAGUGAGAAUGCAGGCAUGAGUAGCGAUACCAGGGUGAGAAACCCUGGCGCCGAAUGACCAAGGGUUCCAGGGCCAGGCUAGUCCGCCCUGGGUGAGUCGGGACCUAAGGCGAGGCCGACAGGCGUAGUCGAUGGACAACGGGUCGAUAUUCCCGUACCGGCGAAGCACCGCCCAUGCUGACGCGCGGGUGCUGACCCACGCCCUGUAGCACAAUCAGCCCGGCAGCCUGCUUCGGUAGGCUCUGGACUGGUGCCACGGGGUCUGGGGACCCUCCGCGCAGGUAGGCAAGCGUAUUAACAGGGGUGACGCACAGUGGUAGCCUCGCGGGCCUAAUGGCUUGGCCCGUCUAAGCGCGCAGCCUGGUACCCAGGCAAAUCCGGGUACCUGCCCUCAACGGCACAGGCCAGGCGUGAUGGGGAACCCACCCAAGGGGUGGGGGAAGCAAGGUGAUCCUGUGGUGCCAAGAAAAGCCUCGACGCGAUGGUGCCAGCCGCCCGUACCCUAAACCGACACAGGUGGUCGGGCAGAGUAUGCCUAGGCGCACGAGAUAAUCAUGGUGAAGGAACUCGGCAAAAUGCCCCCGUAACCUAGGGAGAAGGGGGGCCCAGGCCCUGAAGCCCCACGCGGGCUAGGGGUGAGGGCCGCAGAGACCAGGGAGAAGCGACUGUUUACUAAAAACACAGGUCCGUGCGAAGCCGCAACGCGAUGUAUACGGACUGACGCCUGCCCGGUGCUGGAAGGUUAAGAGGAACCGUCAACCCCCUACCGGGGUGAAGCGGUGAAUUCAAGCCCCAGUAAACGGCGGUGGUAACUAUAACCAUCCUAAGGUAGCGAAAUUCCUUGUCGGGUAAGUUCCGACCUGCACGAAUGGCGUAACGACUUCUCUACUGUCUCCACCAUGAGCUCGGCGAAAUUGCACUACGAGUAAAGAUGCUCGUUACGCGCAGAAGGACGGAAAGACCCCGGGACCUUUACUACAGCUUGGUAUUGGCGCCCGCCCUGGCUUGUGCAGGAUAGGUGGGAGACCGUGAAACCGCCACGCCAGUGGUGGUGGAGUCGUCGUUGAAAUACCACUCUGGCCAUGGCGUGCGCCUGAACCUCGGCCCGUGACCCGGGCCAGGGACAGUGCCUGGUGGGUAGUUUAACUGGGGCGGUUGCCUCCUAAAAAGUAACGGAGGCGCUCAAAGGUCCCCUCAGCCUGGUCGGCAACCAGGUGUCGAGUGCAAGUGCACAAGGGGGCUUGACUGCGAGACCGACAGGUCAAGCAGGUGCGAAAGCAGGAACUAGUGAUCCGGCGAUCCCGAGUGGGUGGGUCGUCGCUCAACGGAUAAAAGGUACCCCGGGGAUAACAGGCUGAUCCUGCCCAAGAGUCCAUAUCGACGGCAUGGUUUGGCACCUCGAUGUCGGCUCGUCGCAUCCUGGGGCUGGAGCAGGUCCCAAGGGUUGGGCUGUUCGCCCAUUAAAGCGGUACGCGAGCUGGGUUUAGAACGUCGUGAGACAGUUCGGUCCCUAUCCUCUGCGCGCGCAGGAUACUUGAGAAGACCUGUCCCUAGUACGAGAGGACCGGGACGGACGAACCUCUAGUGUGCCAGUUGUCCCGCCCGGGGCACGGCUGGUUAGCCACGUUCGGAAAGGGUAACCGCUGAAAGCAUCUAAGCGGGAAACCACCUUCAAGACAAGGUAUCCACACCCACACGGGUGGAAGGCCCCCAGCAGACCACUGGGUAGAUAGGCCGGAGGUGCAAGACCCGCAAGGGCCGCAGCCGACCGGUACUAAUAGGCCAACACAAACAACA